rnacentral:rRNA from 1 species
GACGAACGCUGGCGGCGUGCCUAAUACAUGCAAGUAGAACGCUGAGGGAGGAGCUUGCUUCUCUGGAUGAGUUGCGAACGGGUGAGUAACGCGUAGGUAACCUGCCUGGUAGCGGGGGAUAACUAUUGGAAACGAUAGCUAAUACCGCAUAAUAGUAGAUGUUGCAUGACAUUUGCUUAAAAGGUGCAAUUGCAUCACUACCAGAUGGACCUGCGUUGUAUUAGCUAGUUGGUGGGGUAACGGCUCACCAAGGCGACGAUACAUAGCCGACCUGAGAGGGUGAUCGGCCACACUGGGACUGAGACACGGCCCAGACUCCUACGGGAGGCAGCAGUAGGGAAUCUUCGGCAAUGGACGGAAGUCUGACCGAGCAACGCCGCGUGAGUGAAGAAGGUUUUCGGAUCGUAAAGCUCUGUUGUAAGAGAAGAACGAGUGUGAGAGUGGAAAGUUCACACUGUGACGGUAUCUUACCAGAAAGGGACGGCUAACUACGUG